rnacentral:misc_RNA from 1 species
AAGUCGUAACAAGGUUUCCGUAGGUGAACCUGCGGAAGGAUCAUUAACACGUAUCCAAACGUUAAACCCCCCUGUGAACCUUCACCUGUACUCGUACGUCCGUUAGAAUUCAGGGACGUCUGCAAGGAGCGUGCAUGUUGUGCGAAGCAAGUGGCCUGGCAUCCCCAAGCAGUUAGUGUCUGAAAGUGUCAUUACCUGUGUAAGGAUGACGCAGUCACGAUCGUUGGAGGCCCACACGGCCGACGACCGGGUCGCUGGGCGCAAGCCCCCCUAUAACAAACCCCCUGCCAAUCGCGGCCGCGAUAAUACGCAGUCGACCAAAAACCGAACAACUGUUAACAAUGGAUAUCUUGGUUCUC